rnacentral:rRNA from 1 species
GGAAGGUAAAAGGUCGUAACAAGGUCUCCGUUGGUGAACCAGCGGAGGGAUCAUUACUGAGUUUACGCUCUAUAACCCUUUGUGAACAUACCUAUAACUGUUGCUUCGGCGGGUAGGGUCUCCGCGACCCUCCCGGCCUCCCGCCUCCGAGCGGGUCGGCGCCCGCCGGAGGAUAACCAAACUCUGAUUUAACGACGUUUCUUCUGAGUGGUACAAACAAAUAAUCAAAACUUUUAACAACGGAUCUCUUGGUUCUGGCAUCGAUGAAGAACGCAGCGAAAUGCGAUAAGUAAUGUGAAUUGCAGAAUUCAGUGAAUCAUCGAAUCUUUGAACGCACAUUGCGCCCGCCAGCAUUCUGGCGGGCAUGCCUGUUCGAGCGUCAUUUCAACCCUCAAGUUCUGCUUGGUGUUGGGGCCCUACAGCUGAUGUAGGCCCUCAAAGGUAGUGGCGGACCCUCCCGGAGCCUCCUUUGCGUAGUAACUUUACGUCUCGCACUGGGAUCCGGAGGGACUCUUGCCGUAAAACCCCCCAAUUUUCCAAAGGUUGACCUCGGAUCAGGUAGGAAUACCCGCUGAACUUAAGCAUAUCAAUAAGCGGAGGA